rnacentral:rRNA from 1 species
UACGGAAGGCAGCAGUGGGGAAUAUUGCACAAUGGGCGCAAGCCUGAUGCAGCCAUGCCGCGUGUAUGAAGAAGGCCUUCGGGUUGUAAAGUACUUUCAGUCGUGAGGAAGGUGUUAAGGUUAAUAACCUUAGCAAUUGACGUUAGCGACAGAAGAAGCACCGGCUAACUCCGUGCCAGCAGCCGCGGUAAUACGGAGGGUGCGAGCGUUAAUCGGAAUUACUGGGCGUAAAGGGCACGCAGGCGGUUAAUUAAGUUGGAUGUGAAAUCCCCGGGCUUAACCUGGGAAUGGCAUUCAAGACUGGUUAGCUAGAGUCUUGUAGAGGGGGUAGAAUUCCAUGUGUAGCGGUGAAAUGCGUAGAGAUGUGGAGGAAUACCGGUGGCGAAGGCGGCCCCUGGACAAAGAACUGACGCUCAUGUGCGAAAGACGUGGGGAGGCAAAC